rnacentral:rRNA from 1 species
UCAAGCUACUAAGGGCAUACGGUGGAUGCCUAGGCGCCAAGAGCCGAAGAAGGACGCGGUAAGCUGCGAAAAGCCACGGGGAACUGCAAGCAAGUAUUGAUCCGUGGAUAUCCGAAUGGGGAAACCCGGCCAUCGUCAUGGAUGGUCACCCGCAAGGGAGGGAACCUGGGGAACUGAAACAUCUAAGUACCCGGAGGAAGAGAAAUCAAACGAGAUGCCCACAGUAGCGGCGAGCGAAGAGGGCAGAGCCCAAACCGAGAAGCUCCGGCUUUUCGGGGUUGAGGACCGGCAGAAUCGAAGUCAGGCCUAGUCGAAUUACCUGGAAAGGUAAGCGAGAGAGGGUAAAAGCCCCGUAGACGAAAGGCAGAGCAGAGAGGCCGAGAUCCAGAGUACCACGAAGCACGAGGAAUUUUGUGGGAAGCAGGGGGGACCACCCUCCAAGGCUAAAAACUACUUGGCGACCGAUAGCGCAUAGUACCGUGAGGGAAAGGUGAAAAGAACCCCGGGAGGGGAGUGAAAUAGUACCUGAAACCGUAUGUCUACAAGCAGUCGAAGCGAAAGCGACGGCGUGCCUAUUGAAGAAUGAACCAACGAGUUAUCUGCACUAGCGAGGUUAAGUGGAAGACACGGAGCCGCAGCGAAAGCGAGUCUUAAGAGGGCGCUAGUUAGUGUAGGUAGACCCGAAACCGCAGUGAUCUACCCAUGUCCAGGUUGAAGCGCAGGUAAAAUUGCGUGGAGGACCGAACCGGUGAGCGUUGAAAAGCUUUCGGAUGAGAUGUGGGUAGGGGUGAAAUUCCAAUCGAACGCGGAGAUAGCUGGUUCUCCCCGAAAUAGCUUUAGGGCUAGCCUGAGGUAGUAAGUAUAGGCGGUAGAGCACUGAUCGGGCUAGGGGCCGUAAAGGUUACCGAACCCUGUCAAACUCCGAAUGGAUAUACUGUAGAGCCUUGGAGUCAGACUACGAGUGAUAAGAUCCGUGGUCAAAAGGGAAACAGCCCAGACCACCAGCUAAGGUCCCCAAUGUCGUACUAAGUGGAAAAGGAUGUGGGGUUUCAUAAACAACCAGGAUGUUGGCUCAGAAGCAGCCACCAUUUAAAGAGUGCGUAAUAGCUCACUGGUCGAGAGACCCUGCGCCGAAGAUUCCCGGGGCUAAAGUACGAAACCGAAGCUGUGGCUGUAUACGUAAAGUAUACGGGGUAGGGGAGCGUUCCCAUAGGGUAGAAGUCGAACUGGAAGGUUCGGUGGACUUGUGGGAAGUGAGAAUGUUGGUAUGAGUAGCGAAAAGAAAGGUGAGAAUCCUUUCCACCGAAAGCAUAAGGAUUCCUGAGCAACGAUCGUCGUCUCAGGGUAAGUCGGGACCUAAUCCGAGGCAGAGAGCGUAGGAGAUGGACAACUGGUUGAUAUUCCAGUACCGGUAGUAAUUGUUUGAGCAAUGGAGUGACACAGAAGGGCAGGCAAGCAUGCGAAUGGAAGAGCAUGUGUAAGCGUGUAGGGUGGUGCAUAGGCAAAUCCGUGCACUGAAAGCCUGAGGCGUGAUGCGGAGUGAGCAGAGAUGCGAGCGAAGUUGUUGACCCCACACUGUCGAGAAAAGCUUCUAGUGAGAGAGCUACCGCCCGUACCGUAAACCGACACAGGUAUGCGGGGAGAGAAUCCUAAGGUGCGCGGGAGAACCCUCGUUAAGGAACUCGGCAAAAUGUACCCGUAACUUCGGGAUAAGGGUAGCCACUGUUGUGAAGUCCCAUGCGGAUGGAGCAUAGAGUGGUCGCAGAGAAGAGGCCCAAGCGACUGUUUACCAUAAACACAGGUGCCUGCUAAAGCGAAAGCUGACGUAUAGGUGCUGACACCUGCCCAGUGCCGGAAGGUUAAGGAAGGAUGUUCGGAUUAGUCCAAAGCAUUCGACUGAAGCCCCGGUGAACGGCGGCCGUAACUAUAACGGUCCUAAGGUAGCGAAAUUCCUUGUCGGGUAAGUUCCGACCCGCACGAAAGGUGUAACGAUUUGGGCACUGUCUCAACAUUGGGUUUUGAUACAUUACGUACAGGAUAGGUGGGAGGCAUGGAAAGCUGGACGCUAGUCUGGCUGGAGCCGACGUUGGGAUACCACCCUUGAUGUAUUGAAAUUCUAACCGCGAGAGUAACGAAAUCCGGGACAGUGUCAGGCGGGCAGUUUGACUGGGGCGGUCGCCUCCGAAAGAGUAACGGAGGCGCCCAAAGGUUCCCUCAGCGCGGCCGGAAAUCGCGCGAAGAGUGUAAAGGCAGAAGGGAGCUUGACUGCGAGUCAAACACGACGAGCAGGUACGAAAGUAGGGCUUAGUGAUCCGGUGGUACCGAGUGGAAGGGCCAUCGCUCAACGGAUAAAAGCUACCCUGGGGAUAACAGGCUAAUCUCUCCCAAGAGUCCAUAUCGACGGGGAGGUUUGGCACCUC